rnacentral:rRNA from 1 species
AACGAACGCUUGCGGCAGGCUUAACACAUGCAAGUCGAACGAUAAUUCAGCUUCGGUUGUUUUAUAGUGGCGAACGGGUGCGUAACACGUGGGAAUAUACCCACAGGUGGGGGAUAACUAUGGGAAACUGUAGCUAAUACCGCAUGGUCUCUACGGAGUAAAGAUUUAUCGCCUGUGGAUUAGCCCGCGCUCGAUUAGAUUGUUGGUGGGGUAACGGCCUACCAAGUCUGUGAUCGAUAGCUGGUUUGAGAGAACGACCAGCCACACUGGGACUGAGAUACGGCCCAGACUCCUACGGGAGGCAGCAGUGGGGAAUCUUGGACAAUGGGGGAAACCCUGAUCCAGCCAUGCCGCGUGAGUGAUGAAGGCCUUCGGGUUGUAAAGCUCUUUUAGUAGGGAAGAUAAUGACUGUACCUACAGAAAAAGCCCCGGCUAACUCCGUGCCAGCCGCCGCGGUAAU